CCCUUACUGCCACAGUGUCCCCAGUGUGUUGAUGCUCUGAGACCAAGUUCUUUUGGAGUAGUGUCAUCGUGGCUCCGGUGUCUCUCAGCCCAUUUACUACUCUGCCAUUCAGCUUCACAGUUUGCCGAUGUUGCUGGCGAUUAUCCUGAUGAGCUGCUUGCACUGGGUCUGCCUCGUGUAGGAUGCCCCAGAAUUCCUCCUGCUCUAUGCAGUGAACAGCAGGCUGAGGUGGGCGCUGGUUUCCAUUAACUGGUCUCCUCCAGGACUGAGCCUGGUUGGCACUGUUCAGUGGGCACUCAGGACGCUUGUGCCCCAAUUGCUUGCACCCAAAGCACCGGAUGGGUUGGGAAUACUCACGGGCAUUAAAUCG